AGACUAGUUAGAAAGGUCGAAUGUUUAGUUAAUAAAGAAUGACAUUAUCGUUAAUAUGUCGUAAAUUACGCCUAAAUAUUCGACGUUAAAACUAAGCAGAUCAAUGCUAGUUGAAUUGAUAUAAAUAAUAGAUAAGGGUGUGUAUAAAAUAUUUUAGCUCGUAGAUGUCGCUUUUAUCAGGCGCUUACUUUCAUUUCGAUCCAUCGGAUAGGCAAUGGGAAAAUUACUGCUUGGAAUCGAUAUUGGGACAACUUCCGUUAAAACUGUUCUGGUUGAUGGAACGACUGGAGAAUUAAUUAAAAGUCAGUCGAGAGAGACGCAAGCAACCAAGAAUACAUCUAUUGCGGGAGGUAAUGAACAAGACGUCUCUAAGAUUCUUACUGCUCUGCAAUUCUGUCUUAGUACUUUACCGAAGGAGAAGCUACUAAAUGUUUAUAAAAUAGGCGUUGCUGGUCAAAUGCAUGGUGUUGUACUUUGGAAAAGUGACACUUCUUGGUCUCGAAACUCUUACGGAAGAUUUGAGCUAUCUUCUAACAAUGUUUCUUCUCUAUACACUUGGCAAGAUACUAGAGCUGGACCAGAUUUUUUAGCAUCAUUACCGAGGCCCGAUUCCCAUCUAGGCCUAUCGACCGGUUACGGUUGUGUAACGUUACUCUGGUUGAAGGAAAACAGAGUAAAUUGUUUGGAAAAUUACGAUUGCGCCGGAACUGUACAGGAUAUGGUAGUUUGCAUGUUAACAGAUUUGAAAAGACCAGUAACUUCAACUCAUAACGCUGCCUCUUGGGGUUAUUAUAAUGCAGUCGGCAAACAGUGGAAUAGUGAUAUAUUAAAGCGGCAAGGAUUACGGGAGGAGCUCCUACCGGAUGUCAAGGAAGCUGGAGAGGAAGCUGGAAAACUUUGCUGCAAUUGGUACGAAAUCCCCGAAAAUACUCCUGUUGGGGUAGCGAUGGGCGAUCUCCAAUGCUCAAUUAGGGCAAGAUUAUCGAAGCGGUCGGAUGCGGUUCUAAAUAUAAGUACAUCCGCUCAGUUGGCUUUCGAAAUGCACGAUGGGUUCGAACCCUCAGUGAAGAAGGAAGAACUCACAUCGACAGUAGAUUAUCUACCGUAUUUUGGUUCGAGAUACGUUGCUGUUGCGGCGUCGCUUAGUGGAGGAAAUGUCAUGGCGGCGUUUGUUAGGACACUGCAGCAGUGGACACACGAAUUAGGCGUAAGCGUUCCCCAGGCGAAGAUCUGGACAACCCUUUUGUCUCAAACACCCCGCGAAAGUGAUUUAACUGUCGUUCCAACACUCUUUGGAGAAAGGCAUUCACCGUCAGUUCGUGCCAAGGUAGAUAAUAUUACAACGGAUAACACUAGUUUGUCAUCGGUCUUCUCAGCAAUCUGUAAGGGCGUCGUUUGUAAUUUGCAUUCGAUGAUGCCCAGGCACGUUCUUCUAGCAGCAGCCGUUAAGCGAAUAGUUGGGUCGGGAUCCGUGUUAGCUCGAAAUCAUCUAGUUAGGCAAUACGUUGAGGGAAUCUAUCAACUACCUCUCGUCAUAUCUUCGGAUACCCAGGCAGACGCAGCAGUUGGUGCUGCUUACGCCGUUGGCAAUUUCUACGCUAAUUAAGACGAAAUAAACACAAGAACGAUGUAUAGAAGAUAGCCAAUUCGAUAAUCGCUCUUCUACUUCACUCGUCGAAUAAUCGAUGUUUCUCCCAUUUAAAUUAACGAAGGUAGAAGACCAAACUUCUCUUAUUAAUUAUUGGUUUUUGAGAAAAGAAAACAUAUACUCAUAACCUCUUUAUCUUUUAACCUAUUAAUGAGCUUUUUGCGGCUUUUACGAGUGCUCUGUAAACUCGGGGAUUAUGUAAAAGAAAUUGAUAAGAUUAGUAUUGCUGACGUUCCUUACAGGCGUCUCUGUUGCUACUGCCAUCUGUUUCUUUCUUGGCGUUAAAAAAAAACAAUGCACUCUAUUUUUUUUGUUUUAUUUUGCUUAAUAAAACUAUAGUCUGCAUUUAGGUCAUAUUUUAAUCUUCAUAAAACAACGGAUAAUUCCCAGAUAGAUUUUUGUUUGGGUUACAAAAUACGAUUGUAAAUAUUUAUAGUAGAAAGUUAUUUCCAUUCAAUACUUUUAACAAUCGUCCUUGACAAUCACUUAAAAAAAACGUUCAAAAUUGAUAAGAACCUAACAGAAAACAAUAUCCAUUCAAUAAUUAAAAGUAAUAAUAUUAAAAAAA
rnacentral:misc_RNA from 1 species